rnacentral:rRNA from 2 species
CCACCACCAAAGCAUUUGCUGUACCGCGUUGACGGAGCGAAGCGACGUCAAACCGAUAAAACAGCAGUGUAAAGUGAGCCGCAGGGCGCUUUGCGCGACAGCGCAAAGGCAGGCGGUUUCGCGUAGCGAAAGCGAAUGCUUUGGGGUGGGGUGACUGCGUACCUUUUGUAUAAUGGGUCAGCGACUUAUAUUCUGUAGCAAGGUUAACCGAAUAGGGGAGCCGGAGGGAAACCGAGUCUUAAUUGGGCGUUAAGUUGCAGGGUAUAGACCCGAAACCCGGUGAUCUAGCCAUGGGCAGGUUGAAGGUUGGGUAACACUAACUGGAGGACCGAACCGACUAAUGUUGAAAAAUUAGCGGAUGACCUGUGGCUGGGGGUGAAAGGCCAAUCAAACCGGGAGAUAGCUGGUUCUCCCCGAAAGCUAUUUAGGUAGCGCCUCGUGAAUUCAUCUCCGGGGGUAGAGCACUGUUUCGGCUAGGGGGCCAUCCCGGCUUACCAACCCGAUGCAAACUGCGAAUACCGGAGAAUGUUAUCACGGGAGACACACGGCGGGUGCUAACGUCCGUCGUGAAGAGGGAAACAACCCAGACCGCCAGCUAAGGUCCCAAAGUCAUGGUUAAGUGGGAAACGAUGUGGGAAGGCCCAGACAGCCAGGAUGUUGGCUUAGAAGCAGCCAUCAUUUAAAGAAAGCGUAAUAGCUCACUGGUCGAGUCGGCCUGCGCGGAAGAUGUAACGGGGCUAAACCAUGCACCGAAGCUGCGGCAGCGACGCUUAUGCGUUGUUGGGUAGGGGAGCGUUCUGUAAGCCUGCGAAGGUGGCCUGUGAGGGUUGCUGGAGGUAUCAGAAGUGCGAAUGCUGACAUAAGUAACGAUAAAGCGGGUGAAAAGCCCGCUCGCCGGAAGACCAAGGGUUCCUGUCCAACGUUAAUCGGGGCAGGGUGAGUCGACCCCUAAGGCGAGGCCGAAAGGCGUAGUCGAUGGGAAACGGGUUAAUAUUCCCGUACUUGGUGUUACUGCGAAGGGGGGACGGAGAAGGCUAUGUUGGCCGGGCGACGGUUGUCCCGGUUUAAGCGUGUAGGUGUGUGUUCCAGGUAAAUCCGGUUCACUUUAACACUGAGGCGUGACGACGAGGCACUACGGUGCUGAAGCAACAAAUGCCCUGCUUCCAGGAAAAGCCUCUAAGCAUCAGGUAACAUCAAAUCGUACCCCAAACCGACACAGGUGGUCAGGUAGAGAAUACCAAGGCGCUUGAGAGAACUCGGGUGAAGGAACUAGGCAAAAUGGUGCCGUAACUUCGGGAGAAGGCACGCUGACACGUAGGUGAAGUGAUUUACUCAUGGAGCUGAAGUCAGUCGAAGAUACCAGCUGGCUGCAACUGUUUAUUAAAAACACAGCACUGUGCAAACACGAAAGUGGACGUAUACGGUGUGACGCCUGCCCGGUGCCGGAAGGUUAAUUGAUGGGGUCAGCGCAAGCGAAGCUCCUGAUCGAAGCCCCGGUAAACGGCGGCCGUAACUAUAACGGUCCUAAGGUAGCGAAAUUCCUUGUCGGGUAAGUUCCGACCUGCACGAAUGGCGUAAUGAUGGCCAGGCUGUCUCCACCCGAGACUCAGUGAAAUUGAACUCGCUGUGAAGAUGCAGUGUACCCGCGGCAAGACGGAAAGACCCCGUGAACCUUUACUAUAGCUUGACACUGAACAUUGAGCCUUGAUGUGUAGGAUAGGUGGGAGGCUUUGAAGUGUGGACGCCAGUCUGCAUGGAGCCGACCUUGAAAUACCACCCUUUAAUGUUUGAUGUUCUAACGUGGACCCGUUACCCGGGUUGCGGACAGUGUCUGGUGGGUAGUUUGACUGGGGCGGUCUCCUCCUAAAGAGUAACGGAGGAGCACGAAGGUUGGCUAAUCCUGGUCGGACAUCAGGAGGUUAGUGCAAUGGCAUAAGCCAGCUUGACUGCGAGCGUGACGGCGCGAGCAGGUGCGAAAGCAGGUCAUAGUGAUCCGGUGGUUCUGAAUGGAAGGGCCAUCGCUCAACGGAUAAAAGGUACUCCGGGGAUAACAGGCUGAUACCGCCCAAGAGUUCAUAUCGACGGCGGUGUUUGGCACCUCGAUGUCGGCUCAUCACAUCCUGGGGCUGAAGUAGGUCCCAAGGGUAUGGCUGUUCGCCAUUUAAAGUGGUACGCGAGCUGGGUUUAGAACGUCGUGAGACAGUUCGGUCCCUAUCUGCCGUGGGCGCUGGAGAACUGAGGGGGGCUGCUCCUAGUACGAGAGGACCGGAGUGGACGCAUCACUGGUGUUCGGGUUGUCAUGCCAAUGGCACUGCCCGGUAGCUAAAUGCGGAAGAGAUAAGUGCUGAAAGCAUCUAAGCACGAAACUUGCCCCGAG